CAGAAAAGGUUAAGGCAAGAAGCAGGCCAAUAGGGGAAGCGGGGAAGCUGCUUCUCCACAGGCAGGCCUAGGGAGCAGAGAGCCAGUUGCUCCAAAAUUCAGGCCAGGCUCCAAGACUGCUUCUGGACCUGCUGUCUCUGGCCAGGUGCAGCUCUCAGGACCUCUUCUGGCAAAAAGAGAUGGGGGCAGGGUCUAUGGCCAGGGCACCUAUUUGGAGCGCACCUUUCCCUGCUUCUCUCCCUCCACUUGCUGACUUCUUCUGUGAACAGAACUCCUUCAGAACUGAAAGGGUCUCUAUUCCCUCCUUUUCUGGCACCUCUGGCUGUUUUUAGUGCUUAACUCAUCUUGGGGAGCCUUCCCUGCUCUGUUCAGCCCUCUGUGCUCCUUAGCAACGCGCCCUUGGAGCCACUGUCAGAUUGCCAGGAACUGCUGGUUUGUCUGCCCUUCUGCCUCUCUCCACGUGGCUGUGAACUUGGGAACCUGAAUCUCCUCUCCAUGCCCUAUGCCAGCCUGGCAUAUACCAAGGGCUCUCCGUGCAUUCCUUGAAUGAAUAAACUAAAUGAAUGAUAAGAGACAAAAGAGAGAGCCAGUCAAGGACCUCUGCCUGUGCCCCAGAGAGAGGAUGAGGAGUGUAAGGGGAGAGUAGGUGCAUUGUUUUGCCAGCUGUGUGCAGAUGUGUGAGGCACCCCUGCUGCUCGUACCUCCAACAUACACGAAGGGUCUCAGAGACGUCAUUUUUUAAUGCUUUUUGGCCAUGGAGGGAGGUGGGGGGAGUGGGGACCUGGGUUCCGGACCAGCUGUGGUAUGACCUGACUCAGGAAUGGAGUUUGUUCUCUCUCUCUUUUUAAAAUACAGGAUUGAACCCCCUUAAUAUUUGGGGCCCAGAAGCAAAGAGGAAGAACACAGAAGAAGGAGAGAGAUGGGCAGGCAGGAAAGAGUGGCAGGAAACACGCCUCCACUCCAGUAGCCCAGGGCACUAUGAAGAGGGUAAAGGAGGGCCUGGUUCCAUCCUAGUGGAGAUGACAUUUGAAUUGAGCCUUGAAAAUCCAGGAGCAUUAGGGUAGGUGCAGAAGUGGGGACCACUUUCCAGGCAAAGAGAAUCGCUAAGCAGGAGGCCAGAUGCACCACCCUACAGGGGGAACCAGAGUGCCCCCAUAUUUUCCCCUUUCUGGCCUGGGUAGAGCUGCUGAGGUUGGGAUCAAAUCCUUGGUCCCUUGUGCACCUGCAUUAGGUCUGCAGCCUGAGGUCGGGGCUGGUGGGCUCCUGUGAAGGUUGUUUGGGGCUGUAGGAGGCAGCUGGGGAGAGCCUGCACCCCCACCCUUGCUGCUCCUGAACCUACAAUAGGGGGUCCAUUCUCCUUGCCAUCCGGAAGUUCCAAGAACUGACCUUCUCUCCCCCUAAGCAAACUCUGGGAAGUUCCCAUUGUGGCGCGGUGGAAACGAAGCCGACUAGGAACCAUGAGGUUGCUGGUUCGAUCCCUGGCCUCACUCAGUGAGUUAAGGAUUCAGCGUUGCCGUGAGCUGUGGUGUAGGUUACAGACUCAGUGCAGAUCUGAUGUUGCUGUGGCUGUGGUGUAGGCCAGCAGCUGUAGCUCCAAUUGGACCCCUGGCCUGGGAACCUCCAUAUGCCUCAGGUGUGGCCCUAAAAACAAAAACAAAAACAAAAAAAACCCAAAACUCUGCCUUUGAGCAAAUCAUCAGGCUACCAUUCCACAGAGGCCCCUGUCUGUGGGAGGGCACCAGGCUGCAGGCCAGGCAGUGGAGCCUGGACUAGGCCAGGUGGAGAGGCGAGGAGACCUCGGAGUGGUAGGCAUGGCUAGGCGGGCACAGGAAAGACCUGAGUCAGGCUUCUCAUAAUAAACUACACGUGAAUAAUUCAGAAGCCAACUGGGCCUCAUUGCAUUAAUGCCGCUGCCCUUACCGCCCCUUCUGUUCCUGCUGAGGGGAGGGGGUCAUUAACGUGCUUAAGGAGGGUAGCCUGAUAGAAGACCCCCUUCUCCAAGUCAGUGCUGCCCAGGCCAAUCCCAGGAGACCCUCUGGAUCCCGAUUCCCUCAGGCCCCACCAGUCAGAGGGGCCUACUGGGCAGUGCUGUCCCAGCUAAGCUGUUCUCAGACUCAGGGUGAGAGAAGACAGGUGGCCAGACCAGGACCAGAAUAGGGGAGGAAGGGAUAAGACCUGUGGGAAACGGAGCUGUGGUAGUGCUCAAUGGGAGAAUGCAGGCGCCAGGCCCUGAGCAAAGUGGAGAAGGCAGGCAGGCCCCUGUGCACAGAGCCCAGGCGUUGCUUUGUCCAGGUGGGAUUUUCCUUGCGAUGAGAGUGAAGCUCCAGGGAACUUUUCACCCACUGUGGAUGGCUCUGCCUCCAGCCUCUCUCAGACUUGAAUCCAGCGCCAGUCCCAGCCACCGGUUUAGGCCUAGGUCCUCACCCUAGCCCACGGCAUAAGGGAUCCCCAGACCACUGGGCCUGAGAGGACAGAAACCCCUAAGUACAUACCGCAGCCUUAUUUCGAUUGAGCAGAACCAGCUUCCUUUGGCUUUUCCACUUCCCACAUGUCCCUGGCUCCUGGUCUUGAGGGAUCACCACUCAUCUGGCGCUGAAUUCUUCCAGCUCUUCCCCAGACCCCUUCGCUUCCUUUAAGUCCACCCGGCCUGCUCCUCCUGCUCCUACAUGGUGAACCUUGGCCCUGACCCUCGCACCCGGUCCUCGGGCUCUCCUGGGGCCGGCGCGAACAAGGAUCCCAGGCUGGUCUCCGCCGGUGUCGCUGGCAGCCAGAUGAGGAGGCUCGCGGGAGGCAGCUCGCGUCCCUCCUUCCCUGCCCCACCCUCCCUCUCUCUGAAUCUUCCUCUUCUGCCGCUGCCUCCUCUUCCUCUUCCCUCCACCUCUACGCAUUUCUUUUUCUUCGUUUGGUGCGGUCCGUCGGUGGAGGCCUGAACUUACUCUGCUCGUCUUGAAGCCUCAGCUGGGCCUCCGGGUUCGAGGCCAAAUUUCCAACGGCUUCCGCAGCAGGCGGCUCGGGUGUCUUUGCAGAGGCAGGUGAGACGGGCUGAUGACACCUUCACCUCAUACGGCUGCAUCGCCAGCCGGCUGUGUCAUCUCGGGUAAGUCUCUUAACCUCUGAGCCGUGACGGGGCACAAGUCAAGAGAUUUAGGAGAUGGGAGACUAAGCCUUUUGAUUCGUUUGGGGAAAGAGGUUGCCUGUUUGGGGGCCUAAGAAGGAAGAAUACUAGGUCUGAAAUGAGCAUUUACUUUAACGAAUAUUUCGAGAGCAGCUGGUAGCUGCUUUUUAUUUUUCUUUUUUUACAGCUGAUGUAAUGCCAGGCGUUAGAAAUUUCUCCGAUCCUCACCACAUCUCGGUUUUACCGAAGAGGAAACUGAGGUUAAGAUGGCGUCCUGUUGGUCAACGCCACAGGUGGGAUUCGAACCUAGAUUCCGUUCCCAGGAGCUCGUGAGUUUAAGCCACGGCCGUCUCGCCCUGCCUGGUGAAUGGAGCCCUCGCAGGGCCGGCCGCGACCUGAGCGGGGAGGGAUUGCGCUGAAUCGACGAGCGUUCCCUCUCUCUCUGUGCUGGGAAAUCUUUGAAAUUCCUGUUUUCAGGUAAACGAUUUUGGCGGCUCCCAGGGAAGGGUGGAAACGGGAGCCGGAGAGCCACUUCCGGCUCGUUAGGCGGCGGGGCGGGGAGGGCAACUCUUCCUCGAGCGCAGGGAGGUGGCGGUAGGAGAGCGAGGUGGAAGCCGCCGCUCCCCGAUUUUUCCUCUUUCGAGUUCACCCGUCGGCUCCGUCUGUUCUGUGGGAUCCACGUCUUCGGAAGUCCUGCUCCGAGAGGGAGGAGCGCGGGGCACCCGGCGCACGGCCCGGCCCGGGGCAGAGGUAUGACCGGGCGAUCGCUCCGCUUUUUCACCGUCUUCGGGCGCCUCUCUGAGGUAGCGUCCUCCUGGCGGCUGAGGGGGGUUGGCUGGCGGGGAGCGGAGGGCGGGCGGCAGGCUGGAAGCCGGGGCCUGGGGACCCCUGGCUGGGCAGGGAAGGGCUGGAGUGCGGCUCCCCGGCGACCCCAUCCCGAACUCCCGCCGCAAGGUCGCCCCAUGGCAGCCCCGACAGGCCACGCGUCCCUCGACACAAGUCCCAUUACAUUGUAUUUAUGUUUCACUUUAUUGUUUUUUUUUCCCUCUAUUAUUGUCUCACUCUGGGGGAGGCAAAGGAUAUAAUAUAUUCAUCUUUAUUAUACCAAAUCUGUGUGAAGCAUUUAAUAAAACGCUGUUUCCACACAGCCAGGGAUUAGUGUGAGCUAUUCUUAAGUUAAUGCUCGGUGCAGAGGGCGCCGCCGCCACAGCGCCUGCUGCUGGCGGCCGGGGGGAAGCGCAGGCCCCCUCCGAGCAGGCGGCGCCCUUCCCCGCCCGCGAGUCCUUCCCUGCGGGGUCGCAGGGGCCCCUGCGGCCCCCGCCUGGAGGGAAGGGCUCCGAAGAGCCACGUCCAAGCUCCGCUCUGCGUUUCUAGCCCGCUGCGGGCCUAGGUUUGUGCCUCUGAAAACGGGAAGAGGAAUCCUAUAGCCGCUUGCGUCUCAGGGCCCUUUUUGGGAGGCUGGAGACGCUGAGGGGGUAAAUGGGGUUUUACAAGCCGGAAAGAAAAAAGCGGGGGUUUGUCGCGAUGGGGGCGGGGAGGGGACGACGAUGAGGGCCAGAGAGGAACAAAGAGGCCACAAAAGAGAGUUCCAGGCAACAUAGACCCCUAAGCUGGCCCCCAGCCCAAGUGGGGAGCAGAGUGCAACGCCGGUUUGAGCAGAGCCAGGAGGGCCUCCACAUGCCUGGACCUCAUAUCUACCUUUAUGAACGCGACGGAACCUAGUAAAGAUCUUGGCCUGUCACAGUAGGUCACAUGGUCCUCCGUGCAGGUAGGCAACAGUCUUUGUAGUCCAAUUUACAGGUAGCAGAUUGAGAUUCAGAAGUUCAAGUGGCUUGUUUGAGGUGACACAGCUGAAAAAUAGCACAGCAGUUAAUACUGUCUUCAGACUCCACUUUCCUCCUUCCCCCAGCCCUUCUGCUCGCUCCCUUUCUGCUCAACACCCCCCAGUCCCAAUCCUCCAGGGUUUUCCAGGGCCUGUGAGCUUUAAGUUCUGCUUUCUGCACACACACAGACACACGCACAUGCACACGCACACACACGCACACACCCUACCUGGGGAUGCCCAAGAGAAGGAGAAACAGUUACAUACAUGAUUUUCCGAAUCCAGGCCCUCUGCUCAAUGUCCUUUAGAACCCCCUUGUCUGUGUUCUUAGGGUCUAGCUUUGGGCACAACCGUCUUACUUAGUCCCCUGUUUGAGUGCUGUGGGGAAGCGUCUGGGGCAACUAGGCCAGGUCAGAAGAAGGUAUUGUGCAGACAAGGACUGGAGUGGGCAGGUAAGUCCCCCUGUGAGAACUAACACCCUCUCAUAAUUCUGAGUCCUCCUCUGCCCCCACACUCCUAUCUUUGGGGCUGUACCAUGUAACCCCAUAUCCUGUAGGUGCUGGUAGGCGCUUCUUCGGAGGCUAAGGGUACUUGAGAUAUCUGACAGCUCCCACCUGGGACUGGCUAGGGAAGGGUACAGACUCACCAUGUAAUAGGGCUGGGACGAGGGUGAGGCAAAUAAGGUGCCUUGGGCGCAAAUUAAAGAGGUGCACUCGUUCUCAGUGUUGUGUACAACCCCUGAAACUUCGUGCUUGGGCCUCUCACUUGCUCACCCUCGUUCCAGUCUGCUGUGUGGUUCCAGGGGUAGAACUCCACAUUUGCCAAGUGGGAACAUAGGAUGAUUUCACCUCACCCUUGUGAGUGGCUUUCUGAAUGUAGACCUGUAAACAAGGGAAUGAGCAGCCUUGUGUGGGAGAAAGCGUUCCCAUCAGGCGACGUAUGCUUAGAACCAGCAAGGAGUGCUAAUAAUCAUGGUCUUAUUACCAUCAUCAUCAUUUUACUAUCACUUUGUGCCAAGGAGAGGUUUACUCACCAUAUCUCAUGUAAUGUAUAUAAAUGCCUUUUGGCUGAGGAUGGAUAGUAAAGCCUCUGACCUUCUGGGUCCUUUCCAGCUCUGAGAAUCUAUUGUUGCAUAAGACAAAGGACAUUUCUCUCGAUUUUGGCUGGUUCAUUGCUUUAUAGUUAUUAUUUGAACUUGCGGCCUUUACUAAUGGGUAAGCUCUUUGAGGGCAGGGACUGUGUCUAAUCUCUCUCUUUUUUUUUUUUUUUUCACUGUUCCUUUUCCUCUUCCAUGAUCCACACAGGACUGAGCACACAGCCCAUGUUUAAUAAAUGUGUACUAAACAAGCACAUGAGUAAUCAAAAGCUGUCUGACUACCUGGCCAUCUGCUUCCAUGCUGUGACCAGCAGAGUUAUGAGGGUGGCCCCUGGGAGAGCUAGUACCACCUCUGCAGUCAUUGUUCCCCUGCCCCCACAGCUGAGCUGAAUUCAGGCCAGUGUUUAUAAAGCCUCCUCCCACAUUCCCUCUUCCCCUGUUUUAGUCUGUAGGCAAGACAAAGGCCAGCCUGGAUUCCACCUGUGGAGAGGAGCACCCAUCUUAUACUGGACAAGCCUCAUAAGAAACCUUCAGGUGGGGGAGGGGGCCUCAGCCAGAGAAGUCUGCCUAGCAGAGCUGAAACUAGAGCUAGGCCUGGAAAGAUGGGAAAAGUUGAGAUGUUGUAGGGAAGAAACAGAACAUUUCAGGUUAGAGUGAGAGGGGGCAGCAAGAGCCAAGUGGCAGAGGCAGAACUGCUCACAACAGUAGGCUGGCCUGGAUAGAGUACGAGG
rnacentral:lncRNA from 1 species